CUUUGUCAGAGCUUUUCAUAUGGAAUCACACCAUGAUUGGAAGGUAUCUCCUGGGCCUGAUCCUGUUGAUCCAUGCCAGGACCACGCAGGGGCUGUAUUUUUGGGGCAUCCUCCAGGGCACACGUACAUGGAGGGACAAGGCAAUGAACUUCUCCUCUGCACCAUCAUAUGAAGUGGGCUGUGCCAUUCUUUAGGGGGAUGAAUGGGCCUUGAUGAUAGUACCAUUUGGUAAGUCUGGAAUGGGUUCUAUGGAGUAGGCCAUGCGUUUGAGGGUAGGCCAAGUGUAGGUAGCUCCUGUUCACUAUACCUGUCCUAAACCCUAGUUUUGCCUUAGCAGAGAGAAGGUGAUACUGUUCUACAGUGAUCAUGUACUCCAUUCCUGAAAUGUUCUGUAGAAUCUGCAAGGGCAGAAUGCAAGUAUGUGCAGUGCUGGCAUAUGGGGACACUGCUCAAAGAGGGCCUAGUUAAGGUUGUGUUGUGGGGGUGGCAUGUAGUUCUGUAUUUCCUGGCUUUCAGAAGGUUAAAUUUGCAUUACCUUAGCUCUUCAUUUCCUAGAUUUCAGGGGUUUAAGUGUAGCUGAACUUGAUGUUCUGAGAUAGGGUGACCAGACAGAAAGCAUGAAAAAUCGGGGUGGGGUGGUAAUAGGAGCCUACAUAAGAAAAAGACCCAAAAAUCGGGACUUGUCCCUAUAAAAUCAGGACAUCUGGUCACCCUAUUCUGAGAUGAAGCAUCAUUGGACAAUCUUAACUCUGCCUUAACAAAGUUUUUGGACCUUUAAUUUCCUUUAAAAAAAAAUUCUAAGAACCCCGUGUUCCACAGGCCAGCUCUCCAUCUCUGCUGCCUCUGGCUCCCUGACAACUAUUACCCUGGCCACAGAAGGUACUGAACUGAUGUUGGUCCCUUCACUGCCCCACAAUCACCUCUCUGCCUGUCCAGCACAGCCUGGUCCUCCCUUCCCAGCCUUCCUACCCACAGAGGAAUGGGCAUCAGUGGGGGGCCCAUUAGACUGAGAAUCUGGGUACAAGAUUCAGGAAUAAUACAGGCACUGACACAGUAGUAAAGGCAUAUUUUGAAGGGGGGACAAAAAUGGGCAUGGGUAGGUUUUGGGGAUGCUAAAGCCUCCCUGCUUCCCUCAGUGCACAGCUCUGACCCUCUCCUUUCCUCCCCACGUUCUUCUGCACUUCUCUGACCUUCCCUUUCCCCCUAAAAGCAGCAAUAUCCAGCAUCCUGGAGGCAACACGGGGAAGGACAAAGUCCUGGGUUCCUUCCCCGAUCAGGUUUCAUUGGAGGGAAGGAGAACCACUGAGCCCCCUCCCUUGGCCUGGUGGAGAAGCCAUGGGGAGGAACUUUGAGGUGAUGGGUGUAUCUGGAAGGGGCCUAGGGCAAGGCAGAGCUCGCUCCAUUUUCUUUCCCCUCCUUAUGGUACUGUUCUGUCAGAACUUAUGAGCUCCCAUGGAGCAAAGAUCCCUUUGAGGAUGAUCCCUUAUUCAUAGAGUGAUUGUAGAAAAACUAUACUUUUUGGGAACUUAGUUCUUCAUCAAAGCUCUAAUAAUCAAACUAGGUUUUCAGAAACAUAAUGCUUGUACAAUCCCUUGCAUUAAUAAAAGUCAUUGUCUAAGUGUGUGCUGGCCUCUCCGUAGAUGUGCCCGGUUGGCAAAGGGGCAGAGCUGCAGUCCCAACUCCAGCAUUGCCUGCCCUGCUCCAACAUAUACCCCUAUUUCUCCCUUACCUCUCCAAUUCCUCCAUGUUCCUAUGAAACAAAAAAGUUAUGAAAAUCUGAAAAUGUUAUGAGCAGCUCAUGUUAAUGGGUUGUCUAUCACUAACCCCCAUGACCAGAGGACCCAACAACUUACUUGCUUUCCUUUGAUCACAUUCAGUCCUAUUGUUCAGGAAAUGAUUGCGCCUCAUGAGUCAUAAUUGCAUUACCUUUACUAGAAUCUUUCAUCUGAUAUCUGUUUAAUACUAAUUUCCUUGGUAAUACUUCUAAAGUAAAACCAGAGUGCAUGUAGAUUUUAGAGCACUUUAAAAUAUUGGCUCUUAAACCAGGGCAAAAUUUUCCAAAAGGAGACCCUACAGAAUGCAGGCAGAGAACUCAAAUGUAUAAUACAGAUGCUCUGAAAACUGCCAAGGGUACAGCUCCAAUUCACUUUUCAUAGCCAUUGCUCAGGUUCAGUGGCCAUAGCAUGUCACCUUGAGCCAUCCAGUCACUGUGAUAAGACUGCCUGCGAACUUUCUGUCAUGAACAGAACCCUAGUCUUGCUGCACAUGUGCAUUUCACUCUUUGGCUUGUCAGUUAGGCUCAACCCAGGGUGAAGUUCUAAACUGUACCCUGAAUAGCUUUGGAAAUGUUGCAUUCCCCAAAGAGGCAGUGGGUAGCAUGCAAUAGUUGAGAUAAAUCCAGAGCAGGUAAAAUCAGUGUGGAGACGAUUAGAGCCAUUGUUCAAAACCCAGGUAUGCACAAAAACUGUUAGAAGAACCCAGUGAUUUUGUAAACAUGAUUUUUAGGGGGACUGCAUUUCAGGAACCCUUUGUUCAAAUGACCCCAAAUUUGAAUCCUUCCCCCAGCCCCAUGUUGCAUAGCAACUUUCAAGACAAUACAAGCCACCAUGUGGAUUUUGGAGUGACUCUAAAUCUUAACUAUGCAAAGUUGCCACUUUGCUAUAAUGUGCAACAUCUAAAUUGCCAUUAACACCAUGACCCCAAAUCAAAAAAAAAAUAAAAUAAAAAAUAAAAUAAAAUAAAAAAUAAAAAAAAUAAAAAUAAAAUAAAUAAAUAAAAUAAAAAAAAAAUAAAAUAAAAAAUAAUCAGAAGUACUUUCAUGAAUGACCACCAUGUGAGAAGCAUAAAAUGAUAAAAGACCUUCACAAAUUGUUGAGGCCAUAUUUAUUACGUUCUCAGGAUGACAUAUAGUAAUGAAGGCAUAUAUCAAGGAUAUGAGAGGCCCUCUUUGAAAGGUAUCUGGAUGUCUCACAUGUAUCAAAUGAUCAAAGCAGAUCUGGAUAUUAUGGACAGUUCCAGUGUAUCAGUUCUUAGUGAGAAACCUGCAUCUAAAGCAGGACAAUAAAAGGUCAUUUUGUUUUGCAGGAGAUUUUGAUUUUUAAAAAUUGGUUUACUUUGGAUUUGGAAUGAAAACCAAAAAUUUCAAAAUUCUUUGUGGAAAGGAAUGGAGCCCUGGCUAGCCUGAAGCCAGGGACCCUGAAAGCUCUGGGAGCCUGCGCUGCCCAGGAGCCGGGCAGGCAAGAUGGCAGGAAAAUAGGCAGGUUUCAUGACCUACUUGGGUCCCAUCAGAAUUUCAUCAAAAUUGAACCAUGUCUGUUUGGUUUUCAACAAAUUUGCGAAUACUGAUGAAUGCCGAUGGUAUGUGAUGACUUCUGACCAGUCUAUCGACAACAUUAAAGAUCGGUAAGUUUGUGUAGUCAGUUCAUUAUUACUGUUUUAUUUCUCUGUCAGUGUUAUGAAAGCAUUUUGCAUUGAAAGUCAAAUGUAGAUCUAGUCAGUGGAUGGUGGAGCUGAUUGUUGUGCACAGGGAGACAGUAGAACCCCAAACUUAGCAGUAAAUAUUUUCCUUCUUUUUAUUUAUUUUUUCUUAUUUUUCUCCUGUUGCAGCUUUCUUUACAUGUUCUUUGCUGACAACAUUAGUCCUUUGUGCCUUUCUUAUGAAUGACUUUUCUUGUGAAUUUUGUAAGAUACUUGUUCCCACUUUUCAUGGUUGGUGAUAAGUUGAAUUACUCCAGACACACUCUUGUUUUGCAGUUUAUAUCCAACUCAUAAUUUAAUCAUUUGAAAAUAGAUAUGUUCUUUGUAGAGUGGUAGAUUAUCUAUUUUUUUUUGUGUGUGUGAAUCAAACAGAAGUCAAUUAAAAUAACAAAACAAAAACUAUAUAAUCAGGCAAAGAAGAGACUAAAGCAAGGCUAGAUUGCUACAAGAUUAUCAACACCUUUUAUGAAAGGAAUCUAGCGCCUACCAUCUAGUGUAUACAAUAGUCUGAACAGUACUAAAUAAACUACUGCUUUAUGCUGGACACCUCACAAACUAUUGCCCAGUGUGUUACCUUCCUUUCCUAAGUAAGAUAGUUGGCCAGCUUGCAGAAAACAGUCUCUGAUGCCCUCUGUUAGCUGCCAGGACCUGGGAUCCCUCUCAGUCAGGCUUCAGAUCAGGGAAUAUGGCAUCUAUGGCAUCUGACAGUAUUGAUCACCAGCUAGUCUUGGCCAUCAUGAAAAGGUUACUGAAGUGAACAGAAAUGCCCUGAAAUGGCUUUGGUCCUUCUUCCCUGUCAGUGGCUUGGAACUGGCUGCUGUUUCUCUCUCUGGAGUCCUCCAAGGCUCAAUCCUCCAAUCCUCCAUUUUAGUCAACAUCUGUGUGAAGCUAUUGAGAGAGCUGGUGAAACAAUACAAGGUGAUGUGAUAGCAGCACACAGACAACACACAGUUCGACAACUUGUGUCAGGCAUAUGUAGCACCAUCUCCCAGCUUUCUCAGUGCCUGGCCGAAACCAACACUUGGAUGAAGAACAGCUGCCCAAAGCUGAAUCCAAGCAAGACUAAGGUGAUGUUGAUAGGAAGAGGCUGAAGUGCUGAAUUCAGACCUUUCACAGGAGCUGGGCCUGGAUUAUGGGACUCGCUUCCCCAAGAGAUAAGAAUGACCAUGGAACUAACUACUUCAGAACGAGAUGUAAAACUCACUUCUGCAACUCAGCUUCCCCUCAAUAAUUUCUUCACACAUGCCACAUCCAUUCAUUCACACAUGCAUAUCUACAAGCCUAAACAAGCAAAUAAAAAGCCUGUAGUCUUUCUCCUUGGAAGAAAGCAAGCAUGGUGGUUGUGAUUUUGUUUUUGAGAUACUUGGGCGGUGCUCUCAUAUGACACAAACACCUAGAAGGUUAAAAUAAGAGAAAAUGUUCAAACCUGGGUGUCUAAAGUUAGACUCCUAAAUCCAUAUUUAGGCAACUAAAUACAAAUGGCCUGUUUUCAAAGGCUAAGGUUGCUAACAGAUUCUCCUUCAGUGCAUGUGGGACAUAGAUACUCUGAGUUCUACUAUGCUCUCGUUUAAAUAUUCCUGGUGUGAAGCAUGGUUACAGCUGUGAAUUCCUAUGUUCCCAUACAGUUGUUGUGAAUAUAUAUAUUUUUAUAAUGGAAAUGUAACAUAGGCCUUCUCACUGGUAAAGAGAUUUCACAUAUGUAACACUAUCUUCUGCAAGGGGUAAAUGGUCAUUCAUAAAGUCAUUUUGUAAAGGUCUUGUAUGAGUUCUUUUUGGGACUCAGAGAUUAGCCCAACAGCAGAAAUGACAGGUUCUGUAUGUGCUGAAAGGAGGGUAAGUGUGAUGGGAAAAAAAUGAAGGACAUACAGUCAAACACACACAAUAGCCUGAAAUUAAACACUUCCCUUGGGGAGGUAUGCUCUCUGUGGCCAUGAAAACUGUUUUCUAUCCGCCCAGCACAGUAUGUUAUUAGAGAGAAAAAAUAGACCACAUUGUAAUGUGUGUUCUUUCAAAUACUUUAUGAAGAAACUUGGCUGGCUUACUCUCUUGCUCUUUGAGUGGCUUCUGUCUGCUGUUCCUGAAACAGAUUGUUGUGACUGAAGCUGUGACAAAAAAACCUAAAUGUGGAUGUCCACAAUUUUUGAAGUGUCCACAGAAAAUAUCACAAAAUAGUGCAAGCUGAAAUCACUUCCCUGGAGAAGU